AAGAUGCUAGUAAAAUGAACAUAACACUGCUUUGUCAAGGCAGAGUUGCGAGUUAAACUCUCGCGCAUCUUA
rnacentral:tRNA from 1 species